UCCGGUUUGUCACCGGCAGUCUCAUUAGAGUGCCCAACUAAAUGUAGCAACUAAUGACAAGGGUUGCGCUCGUUGCGGGACUUAACCCAACAUCUCACGACACGAGCUGACGACAGCCAUGCAGCACCUGUCUCUCGGUUCCCGAAGGCACCAAGUCAUCUCUGACAAGUUCCGAGGAUGUCAAGGGCAGGUAAGGUUCUUCGCGUUGCAUCGAAUUAAACCACAUGCUCCACCGCUUGUGCGGGUCCCCGUCAAUUCUUUUGAGUUUCACCCUUGCGAGCGUACUCCCCAGGCGGCAUACUUAACGCGUUAGCUCCGAAACUGAAAGGGUUGAGCCCUCCAACUUCUAGUAUGCAUCGUUUAAGGCUAGGACUAC
rnacentral:misc_RNA from 1 species